CCCUAACCGAACACCUCUCUCUCUCUCUUUCAAAUUCUCAUUUUGUUAAUAUUUUUCAAUUGGAUUUUUGGGAAUUUGGCUUGGAUUUUGGAGUUCAUUUUUGGUGUUAGAAGCUUGGGAUUGUGGAUUACCGGCACCUGGUCAGGAGCACCCGGGGAUUCGGAAUCUCUGCCUUUGCGGGACAACAGGAAAGGGUAAGUCAGUGGCUGAUCAACCAUGAGUUUGAGGAGCAAGAUGAAGAAUGUACAUGUUCAAGCCAUAUCAGACCAAGCGGGUUAAGGGUCUAUCAGUGAUGAACUUUUGAAUUCUAUUUUGCCGUUUAGGUCGGCUAGAAAUAAAUGACUUGUAAUAGCGUUUGUAAAUAUUUUUGGGAUCCCAACUAUUUUAAAAGUUUUAAAUAUAUUACAAGUUUAUUUUC